rnacentral:rRNA from 1 species
ACAUCCGUAGCUUGCAUUGUAAGUCUCUUGUGAAAUCGGGCAUCUUAAGUGUCCGUCGGGCAAGAGAUACUGCUUUGUUAGAGACCGGGAGACGUAAGAAGUACGCACGGAGUAGCGGUAAAAUGUGUUGAUCCCUUCUGGACUAACAAUAGCGAAGGCACCUUACGAGAACGGAUCUGACAGUGAGGGAUGAAGGCUAGGGGCGCAAAGUGGAUUAGAUACCCAUGUAGUCCUAGCAGUAAACACUGCACACUAAACAUUGGGGCCUCUUCGAGAGGUUUCAGUGCUGUAGGGAAGCCGGAGAGUGUGCCACCUGGGAAGUAUAGUCGCAAGACCGAAACUUAAAGGAAUUGGCGGGGGAGCACAAGCCGAA